CACAGAGUUGUUGGCUAGUAAGCAGCCCGACAUCUGCACAUGCCAGGUCGUCUUCCUUGCCUCCAUCUCCUCACAAGCUCUGUGUAAAAGGCACUUGCCCAGCCAACGGAGCCACCGGUUUACCACAUGCUCUAUGUUGCGCAUGCAUUUGACUUCACGAAUAGUUUAUUACAAGUACUCCACUGCACAUGUCUUUGAUUGAUUUGGCUUUGGAUAUUUCCCGAGCAUACGAAGCUCCAUGAGCAAAGAGGCAGUAUAAAUGCAGACAGGAGGAUAGAACUUUUCUCUCAUGUACCAUCAGGAAUAUCAAGGUUGAUGUAGUUUUUGAGAGCAGUGCUUGUUCAGUGGUGAACAUUUGAGUCCUUCACACUCAUUCUUACUGGUCAUGCACUAGAAAGGAUCCUGUCGUGUUAUCUGUUAUGUAUCACUUCAUAUGUAUGUACGCAUGUCUCUUGUGUAUGCACAAAUAUUUGUGACUAGGAAGGUCUAGUUUCACAAGAUCUGUGCAAGUGAUGGCUUGUCAUGUACUCAGAUAUUUCAAAUAUUUGUAUCUGGAAUGGUCCAGUUUGUCAUGUACUUGAAGGAGAUGGCUUAAAUUUCUCAUCUUCUCAAAUGUUUGUGAUAUA